GGUGAACCAAUUCAUCAGUGAAACUCACUAGACACUAUAAUGGAAAUUAACUAUAUAAGUUUUGGGGGAGGGAAGCCAGAAGGAAGGAAACUG